rnacentral:lncRNA from 1 species
GUGCCUCCUUGGAGCAUUAUACUGAUUGCAGCAGUCCUCUGUCAUUGUGAUGAUGGCAGGCAUGUGCUUUUGCCAUAGUUAUCUUCUCAGGAAGAGCAAGAAUUGGAAGGAAGCCAUCCCACACCCUCCCAAGACGCUUCUUCUCCCAAACCUUUUCCCGAGACUAGAGUUGCUAAAUGGCUCAGAGGACAGUAGUAGCCAGAGCUCUAGGGAGGAAGUGAACAGCUGUACGUUGGAAAGGUGAGUACAUCUAAAGGAAGGACACACUGCUUGUCCAAGGCAUUCUCAGAAAACUAGCUGGUAUGUUUCCAGGCCAUGUAUACACUAAGGCAGCAAUCCUAUACACAUUUAUCUGCGAGUAAGCGCUGUUUAACUCAGCGGGGUUUCCUCUGAGCAG